AUCGCAUCCCACCCAUUCCCCUCGUCCUCAUCCUCUGCUCUUUGGAAUCCCUCUACUUGGAGUGGUGGCUUCCAGACGGAAAGGGUUUCGAUUCGAUUCGAUCGAGCGGGACGGGAGGAUCGGCGCCGGAGCCGGAGGAGAGAGAGGGAGAGCCCAUUUCCUCCUCUCCCCGCGCACCAUCUUAUCUCGAGUAAGCAAGCAUGCCGACUCCGACGAGUUCAUUCAUCAUCAGUCUACUAAAGCCAAAGCGUGCUCCUUUGUUGUGUUUUUGCGCCCGUGCGCGCUGUUUUUAGCGCCGGCAGGCUUUUUUCGGCCCUCCCAUUUUCGUCCCGCGUUUCGCUGUCCGCUUUCCAGCAGAUUCAUCAUCCUCAUUCGGUCAUUCCUCCUCCUUCCUGUUGCCAAUAUUUUUCUUUUUUUUAAAAAAAUUGAAUCUUUAAUAUCCCGUUGUUAGAUUGCAUCCUAAUCCUCUCUAGGGAUUUCCGCGCUCUUCUAGCCUCCACAUUUUGUCCCCUUCCGCUUCGAUUCUGCAACCGCUGGCUUACGGUGAUCGUCAUGCAUCCGAUCCUUGAGGUCCCCCCUUUACCAACCCUCCUCAGAUUCUUUUCAUUGUUUUUCUUUUCUUUUCAUUUCCUUCCUGCGCGUGCGGUGUUUCAGAUUAAUUAUCUGCAAUCUUGGCCGGAGAUACGCCCGCCACUGUUAAAAUUUCUCUAGCUUUACUUUCCGGAUUGCCUGCUUAUUUCCUGCUUAGUAACUUAAACUCGCUCAGAAGCCCCACAAAUUUCUGCCGAGUUUGAUUUCUUUUUGGUUAGUUAGACCUACCGGAUUAGUGGAAAAUUUCUUCGCUUGAUUUAGUGCUGUUAAUCACUAUGGGCAAAACUCCAUAAGCGUCCAUUUUUGUCAUGGACGGCUGCGAGUUCUUAUUGGACUCUAGUAUAUAGCUUCAUGCUUAACUUAUGGCGAUACCAGUCGCUUUAUUGCAGAUUAAGUAACGGACUAGGUGUUGCAUGAGGGCCUUGUUUGCUUCCACUUGUGAUGCUAUGUUGUCAUAGCCUUAUAGGGCAAUUUGAUUCCACAUUUCAAAUUGGUUAGUUCCUGUACAUGUAUCCAACUAUGAGAAUGUUAUCUGCUACCAUCACCUGUCAUAUGUGACACAUUGUUCAUCGAAACUGUCAAUAUAGAAACAGCAUUCAAAAGGUACACAAAACUGCUAAUUUCAUGCUGUCCAUGUGCUCUAGUUUGAUAACUUUUCAAUGUCUCCACUUCACGAAUUAUGUAUUUGCCGGCCUCAUCCACCAACUUAAUAACAUACCCUAGAGUGUCUCAGUUUUUUUCUUUUUCUGAAAUUUUUUUACUUCCUGAUUGCUGUGUUUUUGCUUAUUGACAAUUGUGUGGCGAUUCUACCUGCUCAAGAGACCGUCAGCUUGCUUCUUUACCUCCUUAAAUCUAGUUGAUCAGAACAAAGAGAAAUCUUUAUGAUGCUGCUGAUAUGCUACAUCAUCUCAAUAGAAAUGUAUGUUAUUAAACUCAUGUGAUCACAGAUUUUCUGAGAAAUGCCGUGUGCACUUGAAGUAUUUGACACAAGGGUACAAAGUACAUCACAUAUUCAGUGCAACAGGUCGUUCGACCAAAAUAUUGGCAGACACUUUUCAAAGGGUCGUCUGAUAUGCAAACCUGUUUCUGUUCAUCCGGGGAACAGGGACACUGCAUUAACAGUACUUCCGCUUGGGCAUGAUUCAGAUUGGAAACCAGCACCAUUUUUUUCUGGCAUUCAAGAGGUCAACAAGGUAAUCUCUUUGACGUCAGGAGAUCUAGGUACAGAAGGCCUUGAGUUAUUAUCUGCACAGCCAAUACUACCAUGUUGCUUGGGCCAGCUGAAUGAAAGAAACAUGCAUGAUCAGGCUGAUUCUUCUAAACCAGUUUCCAAUGGAAGCCCACACAGAGGAAGCACCUUAAGUCAAUCUCGGCAAAGGAAAACCAUCAGCAGUUCAUCGGUAGCAGUCCCCCCCUGCCAUGUGGUUGCAAAGAAGUUCCCCCGGCCUGUCGCUACUAUUCUGAGGCCUGAUUCUGAUAUUUUGCAUGAUGAUGACAAACCUUCAAAAAGGAGUUAUAAUAAGAAAGGAAACAAGAAAGGGAAACAGUACGGGCGAACGACCCGUAAAAAGCUGAAUUUGGCAUCAGAAAGCACUUUUGAAGAGAAUACUUACGGUGUUUCUCCUACGGAGGUACUUCCGACCAAUUUACUGGUUGAUAAGUUGUCAGAGAUUACAUCCUCUGCUAGCCUUUUGGUUAAAAAAGCCCAUUUGGGUGGUGAGAACAACAAUGACUCUGUGAAAUGUGGUACUAUGUUGAAUUUGUCUACACUAGGAACUGAUGAGAUGGAUGGCUCUGAAUGUGCUGGCUCAUCUAAUGACGCUGCAGGAGGGAGAUUAAGCUGCACUUGUGUUCCUUACUUGAAUGAUGAAUCAAAUACUACUGAUUCUUCAGACUUUGACGGGUCCACUUUCAUGGAACAUGGUUUGGGAGAAGAAAGCAAAAGCUGCCAGAAGUUUCCAUGUGCCUAUGUUUAUAACCCCGAUUAUGCCACUACAGAUUCCUUCUUUGGCAAGUGGAGCAAUGACAAUAGUGGGAACUACUGUGUCAAUGUUGAGGCCAGGUUAACUCUGAACGAUGAAAAUAGUCUUGAUCAUUCUCAACCGGUGGCUUCCACAGGUCUGAAUGAUGUGAGUAAGUGCCAGUUGAUAAGGCCACAUCUUAGUGCUACUCAUACUGAAGGUACCAACUAUCCUUUAGAGAGCAGAUCUUGUUCGUCUAAGGAUGUUACUGAUAGUUGUAGUCAUACUGAAAGAGUUCAGUGCAGCAGUGAGGCCUGCAGCAGUAAGGACUCUCUUCAAAUUUGUUCAGGGAGCAGGAACAGAAGAUCAAGAAAAACAACGAGCUACAGUGAUUUUACUGCGUCUAACAGAGUAAUCGGUGCUAAUAGGAACAAGAAUAAUGGAAAAAAUAGUUUGUCUGUAUGGCAGAAAGUAGAAAGAAAUGACAAGAUCAUAUCUAAAGCAGGACAUUCAAGUAAUCCACCUAUUCAGCAAAAGAGUGCACACGAGGACAGUAACAAGGGUGUACAGGAAGAUACAACAAGAAAUCGGGCAAAGCAUAAUCAGAAUAGGAAAGCAUGCAAACAUGAGUCCCCAAAUGGGACACUUGAACUGGAGUCUACCAAAGAAGAACAAGAUGCAUUGGGCUCAUGCCAAACAUUUUCCAAACUCAUCUACAAGAAGCAAGCGCCCUUCCUACGCAGCUCUUCUUCAAAACAAGGUUCUCAGUCAUCGAAAAACUACUAUGCUCCUAGGAACAGUAUCCCCAAGGUGCCAAAGGAUUCCCUGCAGCAAGAAGCAUUGCCUACGCUGCUGCUAGUUCAGGCCAAUGACAUCGGUGGUAGAUCAACCUCAAAUUCUUGUUCGGCUGACAAAGUUGUUCAAACUGGAGAUAGCAGCAACUAUCCAACUGAGGGAAAUAAGAGUUCACAAUCUAGUAUUGAUGUAGCUGCAUCAGUAUCUUCCAACUUGUUUCCAGAUUUGACACUACGAGCUGCUUCUGAUGGUGCCCACAUAUCAGAUCUUUACUCUUUAUGUCCUCAAGACAAGGGCACAUACACUAGUUGGAGCUCCAAGAACUCGUGUACAGAUCGUUGCACUGCAGAAACUGAGGAAGCUCGAUCUGUGAAGCUAACAACGGAGAAUAAUUCUCAAGAAUCCUGUCAGUGGUAUUCUGCUGCUGGACACCUGUCACAGAAAUGGGUUCCUGUUGGAAAGAAAGAGGCGUCUAAUGUGAUCCAUUUAGAUGUCUCAGAGGCUUCUGUUGUCAAAGGUAUAGUUCCAGCUAAUGAUAUUUCCGAUUCAGUUGGUCCUGUAUCAACCAAUGGUGGAGAUAGCAAAUUAGCUAGUGAAAUGACUUCUAAACUGAGCUCAUCUGAACACGCUGAUUUAAAAAGGCAAGCAUAUGAUGGAAUUGAGACUGGUUGCAACAAGAUAAAAGAAGCCAUCAGUUAUGUUUUCACAGCACAGCGACGAGCAGAAGACAUCCAACAUCGCAUUGGUAGGCUUCUUGCAGAUUUUGAACAUUUUGUUAGCUCUGCUUCUCCAGUUGUGCACCGUAACCCUUGCCCUGCUGGCUGUAAAUUUUACUUGCAAGAAUCUGUGGAGGAUGGUUUAUGUUUCCAUCAGACUCCAGACAUCACUCUAAGAACUGUCUGGAGGUGGUACGAAGAACCUGGCUGCUAUGGUUUGGAAGUGAAGGCACAAGACUUCCGUAGAUCAAAAGGCUUGGGGAAUAGCCAUUGCCAGUUUACUACCUAUUUCGUGCCAUAUCUAUCUGCUGUUCAACUUUUCAAACAGACUAAAAGAACCAGUGGUGGAAGCAUUGUUAAGGAAACAAUGGAUGGGGAUAUGACGUGCGAAACAUCUCCGCAUCUUUCUUUCAAAAAAGAAGAAACAUCUCCGCAUCAGAACCUGCCACCUAUCUUUGCAAAGCUUCUGCCACAACAAUCUAAUCCAAUAAACAGAUCAUCUACCUUUCACACUGAAGACGAUCGACAGUUAGUCAAUGGCGAGCUCAUAUUUGAAUUUUUUGAAUCUGAACAACCAUACUCGCGGCGACAGUUAUUUGACAAGGUAAAUGAGCUGAUUGCUGGUGCGAAACCUGUGAAUUGCCAAAUUUUUGGAGACCCAAAGAGUUUGGAGCUGAGCCUGCAUGAUCUCCAUCCAGCCUCUUGGUCUGUUAUAAGCUCUCUACUUAUAUCGGUAUUGUGUCGCAUGGUAUCCCAUAUACCGUAUACCAGAUGGUAAAUUGCAGGCUGCAUUCUUGACAUAUCAUUCUCUUGGGCACUGGAUUGGUCGGAUUAGCUCAGCAGACGAGGCUGUUAUUUUGCCUGUCAUAGGCCUGCAGUCUUACAAUGACAAGGCGGAGCGGUGGUUUGAGAUGAGCAAACCCGGUUCAGAAGCUGGUGGGCCACCAGAGGAUGGACAGUGUGGUGAAGCGCCCCAGGUUCUGAAGCAGAGGGUGCGUGCUCUGAAUGAUGCUGCAGCGGUGAUGUCCAGGGCCAACGUGGCCAAGAGUGGGCAGAUGACUAGAAACAGGCACCCAGAUUACGAGUUCUUCCUCUCACGCUACCGAUAGCUCCGUCCUGGAGCAGCGACUGGAGCUGUGUACGUCGCAGAUCUAGCUCUGGGAACUAGGUGAACUAUGGUACUCUUUGUCUGUAUAUAUAUUAGCAGUGAUCUGUGGAAGAUAGCAGAGGGAGUGAGUUUUGUCGGAUUUAGGGUGAUGUGUACAUAUGAAAACAACCACCACUAGUGCAGUUAGUUUUGACUGUUAGUAUAUAUUAUCAUGAGUGAGGAGAAA